GCCUACGGGGGGCAGCAGUAGGGAAUCUUCCACAAUGGGCGAAAGCCUGAUGGAGCAACGCCGCGUGGGUGAAGAAGGUCUUCUGAUCGUAAAACCCUGUUGUUAGAGAAGAAAGUGCGUGAGAGUAACUGUUCACGUUUCGACGGUAUCUAACCAGAAAGCCACGGCUAACUACGUGCCAGAAGCCGCGGUAAUACGUAGGUGGCAAGCGUUAUCCGGAUUUAUUGGGCGUAAAGGGAACGCAGGCGGUCUUUUAAGUCUGAUGUGAAAGCCUUCGGCUUAACCGGAGUAGUGCAUUGGAAACU
rnacentral:rRNA from 1 species